UUUCAACGAGCCGAGCCAGAGCGGGCUUUCCUCGGUGUGCUCCUGCCCGUACGUCGCCAGUAGUGCCUGCACCUC
rnacentral:antisense_RNA from 1 species